rnacentral:lncRNA from 1 species
CGCCGCUGUGUGUGUGUGUGUGUGUGUGUGUGUGUGUGUGUGUGUGUGUGUGUGUGUGUGUGUGUGUGUGUGUUGUACUGACUGGAGAGAAAAUCGUGGGGGGCCUGCAGCGAAGUCCCAAGUUCCCCGACAAACCGCCCGGCUGGCCUGCCGGGUCUGGCAUAGUUGUCCCCGGCCACUCCUGUGGCUUUUGGUGUAUUCUUCCAGAUAUCUGGUCCAGGUCUGAAAGCUCUGGACGAGUCCCCACGGACAAAACUCAAAGCUCUUUGUUGUAAAACCAGAGGACAGGCCAACCUUGAGUGCGGCUGCCUUCCCUGUGGUGCGCCUUUGUCCGGCUCCAGGGAACCCCGCGCUCCCCUCACUUCUGCCCCAAGAAAGCUUGAACCCUCAUCUUCCACAAUCCGGAUGUUGUUAGCCGUGUGGACAGGUUUCCACCCAUGUUCCUCCAUCAGGGGAACGGGGAAGAGAUUUAAAAAAAAAAAAGCUAAUUUCCAUUCCUAAGAGAACAUCCAAGUGACCCCCUCUACCCGAUGCCCCGAACCAGCUCUCCGGGGAGUGGAACGCCACUGGAGACUAAGUGACAGGGAUCCUAAGAAAAAGCCAGCUUGUGCCUCCGGUGCUGCCACCGUAGAGUCUAAGGCGGGUGUUUCCGUAGAUCCUAAAUCCGGCUGCCCGGGAGCUCCCGGCCCGGGCGCCGCUAAAACCCGGAGAGGCCAAGCCGGGCCCAGCCACGCUCGCAGUUUCUCGCUGCGGCUGGCCCAUCAGCAGCUGGGUAUCCUGAAGUUCAUCCAGCCAAGGGUAGCCCAAACCCGCCAACAAAACCAAGGAUCUGGUGCCAGAGCCUCGCACGCCACCCCGGACCCAAGCGAGCAGCUCGCAGCCCAGGGGCGGUGGCACCCGGCCACUUCGGAUUUCUGCUCCUCUCAGCCCCGCCUCCGACCCUGGCCUCCUCCUCUGGCCCGGGUCGGGUCUUACAUUCCACUGUCUUGGCUCGAGAUGCAUUUGGUGCGCAGGGAGCGGCCAGGGUCAUAAAUCUGCACUCAGGCCCUCCUCCUCGAGGUAGGGCCAGGCACUCUUUUCUCCUUGGUCAUGGCCUGAGGACCCCGAGACCACGCAGGAAGCAAGCCAGGAGCUUCCUCAUUCGCCUAAGAGAGGGAACUGCCUCACCCUCUCUGUGCCAGCACCCGGAGUCUUGGGCCUCACAGAUCACCGGCAGCUGGGAUGCGGGGUGCAGGGAUAUGGAAAGCUUGGAUGGAAAGCACGGAGCUCUUGGAUUCCCAGCGAUGUCUCAAAAACACUAUUAGAGGGGCCGAGGGCUUUGGGUCGGGCGCAGAGAAAUAUGAGCACUGACCCGCGUAGUAGCGGAGCAGCAAGAGGUUGUAUAUCCACAUUCCGGGCCAGGCAGUCCCUGCAAGGCCCCAACGAAGCGCCUCGGAAAAAAAACAAAGCUUUGCCAGUUUCAUCCAAGGUUAAACUCCACCGCAAGCAUUUUUCUUUUUCUUUCUUCUUCCUAUUUUUUUCCCCUCCCCGGAAUCAGAGCGAUAGCGUUACUGCAAAGAAACCGCAAAUAAAUCAACUUCUCGGCAGCCCGCUUUAGAGCUGCGGUGACCUUGGGGGGAAUGUUUUCCUGCUAGACCCGUCCCAGAACUGGCGUGGGGGAGGGGACCCACUGUCAUCCCAGUCCCCCCACACAACCCUAGAGAAGAAGGAGAAGGGGGUGGCCAAGGACACUGGCGGGUGUAUAUUAUGGCAUGUGUGCCCGGGGUGAGGAGUUUGGAAAGAGGUCAGGGGGGUAUUGUGGUUAUUAUUUAAGGGGGACAGUGUCCGGUAACGGGGGAUUUGCUACCGCGAAAAGGCCUGUGUACCCCAGACUGCGGUACCCCCUCCGCAAACGCCAUACUAGUCCCUGGGGAAUGGGGAACAAACCCCGAUGGACAAACGAGGCCUCUUUGGGGACCUCUGGUCUUUGUCUGGGUGUGACCGGGUGUGUUCCGCAGCCAGUUUGUGCGGGGUGUGACUAAUCGGAUUUAUGUGUGUGAGUGCCGGGGUGACUAAUGGAGGGUUUGGCAGCACGUGUGUUUGGGGAGGGGCGCUGCACCUAGGUGGGGACUCAGUGCCCCAGGAGGGGGCUGCCUGAUCUCAGAAGUUUCCUCCCUUCCCCCUUUCUCCUGGCUCCCAGCUUUGUUUGGGCCUCUGCGGGGCUGCCUGGCAGGCCCGUGCAUGCUAGGGAGCUGUGGCUCAAAUUCCACAGCAUGCCUGGCGCCCAGAGGCAGCUCCUGGCCUCCCGCCUCCCUAAGCCACGUGGUACCUCCAAAUCUGGGCUGGCCGCUUCCAAAUUGGGACUGUCCCACCCCCUGAAGCUGAGCCCUCCCAGCAUUUUCUACGUUGCCCAAGGAAGCCACUACAGACGCCCAGCUCUGUGAUCUGUGAUACUGUCCUAAAAGAAUUCAUAGAGAUGUCCGAAGUCACAGCGGCACAAGGAAGUCGCUUAGGUUGUGAGUUCGGGGUCUCUUCGGACCUCCCCCCCCACCCCCCGCUCCGGUGCUGUAAAUGGAAUUCAGUCACUCACACACGGUAGUCAAGAACUCCAUCUACCUCUAGGCCUCUAGCUAGAUCCUAGACCCUAGGCCAUAGGGGUCUUGAAGGUGGGGGUGGUUCGGACCUAUAACCGCCACGCUCGGAAGGCAGGGGCGAGUGGCCAUGUGAGUGUACCCAAGCCAGCCAAGGUUUCAUAGUGAAACCUUGUUCCAUGAAAUGGAAAAUAAGUAAAACUCUAGUUUUUAUUUAUUUUCUGGUUAUUUAUGAUAGCGGAGCUAUCCUCCAGAAGUUGAGAGGUGGAAGUUGGGGUACAGGAGUUCAAGGUCAUCCCAUGGUGUUUAACAAAUGUAGGUCUGCAAUUCAGUCCGUCAGUCUCUCUCCCUUUCUCAAAGAAAUCAAUAAAGGGGGCCGGCAAGAUGGCUCGGCAGAUAAAGGCUCUUGCCACUAAGACUGACACUCUGAGGGCCAUCCUGGGAAGCCGGUAGUCAAAAGAGAACAGCCUUGCAGAUGUAUUCCAUAUACAGAUAGUAG